GAUGAACGCUGGCGGCGUGCCUAAUACAUGCAAGUCGAGCGAACAGACGAGAAGCUUGCUUCUCUGAUGUUAUCGGCGGACGGGUGAGUAACACGUGGUUAACCUACCUAUAAGACUGUGAUAACUUCGGGAAACCGGCGCUAUUGCCGGAUAAUAUUUUGAACCGCAUGGUUCAAAAGUUAAAUACGGUCUUUCUGUCACUUAUAGAUGGAUCCGCGCUGCAUUAGCUAGUUGGUAAGGUAACGGCUUACCAAGGCAACGAUGGAUAGCCGACCUGAUAGGGGGAACAGCCACACUGGAAAUGAGACACGGUCCAGACUCCUAAGGGAGGCAGCAGGAGGGAAACAUCCGAAAUGGGGGAAAGCCUGAAGGAGCAAAGGCGCGGGAGUGAAGAAGGUAUUCGGAUCGUAAAACUCUGGUAAUAAGGAAGAAAAAAUGGGUAAGGUAACGGGCACAACUUGACGGUACCUAAACAGAAAGCCAAGGGUAACUAAGUG
rnacentral:rRNA from 1 species